rnacentral:rRNA from 1 species
UACGUAGGGACCAAGCGUUGUUCGGAUUUACUGGGCGUAAAGGGCGCGUAGGCGGUAUGACAAGUCACUUGUGAAAUCUCCGGGCUUAACUCGGAACGGUCAAGUGAUACUGUCGUGCUAGAGUGCAGAAGGGGCAAUCGGAAUUCCUGGUGUAGCGGUGAAAUGCGCAGAUAUCGAGAGGAACACCGGUGGCGAAGGCGGCCUUCUGGACAGUGACUGACGCUGAGACGCGAAAGCGUGGGGAGCAAACAGG